rnacentral:rRNA from 1 species
AACGAACGCUGGCGGCAUGCCUAACACAUGCAAGUCGAACGAGAUCUUCGGGUCUAGUGGCGCACGGGUGCGUAACGCGUGGGAAUCUGCCCUUUGGUUCGGAAUAAUAGUUGGAAACGACUGCUAAUACCGGAUGAUGACGAAAGUCCAAAGAUUUAUCGCCAGAAGAUGAGCCCGCGUAGGAUUAGCUAGUUGGUGGGGUAAAGGCCUACCAAGCCUGCGAUCUAUAGCUGGUCUGAGAGGAUGAUCAGCCACACUGGGACUGAGACACGGCCCAGACUCCUACGGGAGGCAGCAGUGGGGAAUAUUGGACAAUGGGGGCAACCCUGAUCCAGCAAUGCCGCGUGAGUGAAGAAGGCCUUCGGGUUGUAAAGCUCUUUUACCAGGGACGAUAAUGACGGUACCUGGGGAAUAAGCUCCGGCUAACUUCGUGCCAGCAGCCGCCGUAA